rnacentral:misc_RNA from 1 species
GAUGAAGAACGUAGCAAAAUGCGAUACGUAAUGUGAAUUGCAGAAUUCAGUGAAUCAUCGAAUCUUUGAACGCACAUUGCGCCUGCCAGCACUCUGGCAGGCAUGCCUGUUCGAGCGUCAUUUCAACCAUCAAGCCCUAGGCUUGCGUUGGAGCCCUGCGGCUGCCGCAGGCCCCUAAAAGCAGUGGCGGGCUCGCUAUCACACCGAGUGCAGUAGAUUACUCUUCGCUCAGGGCGUGUGGCGGGUUCCAGCCGUGAAACCCCCUACUUCUCAAGGUUGACCUCGGAUCAGGUAGGAAUACCCGCUGAACUUAAGCAUAUAAAUAAGCGGAGGA